rnacentral:lncRNA from 1 species
AUGUGGAGCCUGGCUCUGGGGACUGGAGGAACUCAUAGGUCAGCUGUUGGAUGUGGAGCCUGGCUCUGGGGACUGGAGGAACUCAUAGGUCAGCUGUUGGAUGUGGAGCCUGGCUCUGGAGGAACUCAUAGGUCAGCUGUUGGCUGUGGAGCCUGGCUCAGGAGACUGGAGGAACUCAUAGGUCAGCUGUUGGAUGUGGAGCCUUUCCUGGAGACUGGAGGAACUCAUAGGUCAGCUGUUGGAUGUGGAGCCUUUCCUGGAGACUGGAGGAACUCAUAGGUUAGCUGUUGGAUGUGGAGCCUGGCUCUGGAGACUGGAGGAACUCAUAGGUCAGCUGUUGGAUGUGGAGCCUGGCUCUGGGGACUGGAGGAACUCAUAGGUUAGCUGUUGGAUGUGGAGCCUGGCUCAGGAGACUGGAGGAACUCAUAGGUUAGCUGUUGGAUGUGGAGCCUGGCUCUGGAGACUGGAGGAACUCAUAGGUCAGCUGUUGGAUGUGGAGCCUGGCUCUGGGGACUGGAGGAACUCAUAGGUCAGCUGUUGGAUGUGGAGCCUGGCUCUGGAGACUGGAGGAACUCAUAGGUCAGCUGUUGGAUGUGGAGCCUGGCUCUGGGGACUGGAGGAACUCAUAGGUUAGCUGUUGGAUGGGGAGCCUGGCUCUGGGGACUGGAGGAAUUCAUAGGUCAGCUGUUGGAUGUGGAGCCUGGCUCUGGAGACUAGAGGAACUCAUAGGUCAGCUGUUGGAUGUGGAGCCUGGCUCUGGAGACUGGAGGAACUCAUAGGUUAGCUGUUGGAUGUGGAGCCUGGCUCUGGAGACUGGAGGAACUCAUAGGUCAGCUUUUGGAUGUGGAGCCUGGCUCUGGAGCCUGGAGGAACUCAUAGGUUAGCUGUUGGAUGUGGAGCCUGGCUCUGGGGACUGGAGGAACUCAUAGGUCAGCUGUUGGAUGUGGAGCCUGGCUCAGGAGACUGGAGGAACUCAUAGGUCAGCUGUUGGAUGUGGAGCCUGGCUCUGGAGACUGGAGGAACUCAUAGGUUAGCUGUUGGAUGUGGAGCCUGGCUCUGGAGACUGGAGGAACUCAUAGGUCAGCUGUUGGAUGUGGAGCCUGGCUCUGGGGACUGGAGGAACUCAUAGGUUAGCUGUUGGAUGUGGAGCCUGACUCAGGAGACUGGAGGAACUCAUAGGUUAGCUGUUGGAUGUGGAGCCUGGCUCUGGAGACUGGAGGAACUCAUAGGUCAGCUGUUGGAUGUGGAGCCUGGCUCUGGAGACUGGAGGAACUCAUAGGUCAGCUGUUGGCUGUGGAGCCUGGCUCUGGAGACUGGAGGAACUCAUAGGUCAGCUGUUGGAUGUGGAGCCUGGCUCUGGAGACUGGAGGAACUCAUAGGUUAGCUGUUGGAUGUGGAGCCUGGCUCUGGAGACUGGAGGAACUCAUAGGUUAGCUGUUGGAUGUGGAGCCUGGCUCUGGAGACUGGAGGAACUCAUAGGUCAGCUGUUGGAUGUGGAGCCUGGCUCUGGGGACUGGAGGAACUCAUAGGUCAGCUGUUGGAUGUGGAGCCUGGCUCUGGAGACUGGAGGAACUCAUAGGUCAGCUGUUGGAUGUGGAGCCUG